GGGGAAUUUUCCGCAAUGGGAAAACAGCCCGGAGCAGCAAUGCGUGAGGAGGGAAGAACCCUGGGGGGUAAACCUCUUUUUUCAUGGAAGAAGAAAAUGACGGUACCAGAGGAAUAAGCAUCGGCUAACUCCGUGCCAGCAGCCGCGGUAAGACGGAGGAUGCAAGCGUUAUCCGGAAUUAUUGGGCGUAAAGGGUCCGCAGGCGGUUUGUCAAGUCCCCAGUCAAAGCCCGGAGCUUAACUUCAUAACGGCGAGGGAAACUGGUAGGCUAGAGUGCGGUAGGGGCAGGAGGAAUUCCCGGUGUAGCGGUGAAAUGCGUAGAGCUCGGGAAGAACACCGGUGGCGAAAGCGCCUUACUGGACCUCAUCUGACACUCAGGUACGAAAGCUAGGGGAGCGAAAGGGAUUAGAUACCCCWGUAGUC
rnacentral:rRNA from 1 species